UACGUAGGGGGCAAGCGUUGUCCGGAAUCAUUGGGCGUAAAGAGCGUGUAGGCGGCCCGAUAAGUCCGCUGUGAAAGUCCAGGGCUCAACCCUGGGAUGCCGGUGGAUACUGUCGGGCUCGAGUCCGGAAGAGGAGUGUGGAAUUCCGUGGUGUAGCGGUGAAAUGCGCAGAUAUCAGGAGGAACACCAAUGGCGAAGGCAGCGCUCUGGGACGUGACUGACGCUGAGACGCGAAAGCGUGGGGAUCAAACAGG
rnacentral:rRNA from 1 species